rnacentral:misc_RNA from 1 species
UUUCCGUAGGUGAACCUGCGGAAGGAUCAUUAUUGUAUAACCGAGGUGCGAGGGCUGUCGCUGACCCGAAAGGUCACGCACGCCCGAGUGCCCUCACACACAUCCAUCUCACCCCUAUGUGCACCACCGCGUGGGUCCCCCUUUGGCUUGUUCGGAGGGGGGCUUACGUUUUCACACAAACUUUGUAUGCAGUGUAGAAUGUAUUUUUUGUUUUUGCGAUCACGCAAUCAAUACAACUUUCAACAACGGAUCUCUUGGCUCUC